GUACUCACUUUGGCCUCACCUGCGCUGAAGUUGGAAAGAUAAAGAGAUCACCAUGGCUCCUGCAUAAGAAGGACAUGAAAAUUUGUGAAAGAUUCCUUAUUUUU
ensembl:snRNA U6 U6 spliceosomal RNA